rnacentral:lncRNA from 1 species
CUUAUUCCAUGUUAUGGAAUUGAAGUUAAUUAUAAAUAACACGGUAUUUUGCAUAAUUUAAAAAAUAUCGAUAAUUAUUUACAAGUUACUAAUGGAGCCGGAACUAGUUAUUUAUUACUGUUUGUCAUGUUUAAACUGAUUGCUUGAUUCUACAAUUUCGAAUGCAUGAUGAUACACUGGAAUUAGUAAGAUGAUUCGAUUGUGUUUUCUUGAUGCAUGUAUUGUUUAUUUUGCAUGGUUUACAGUUAAAUUGUGAAACUGAAAAUUAAAUAUAAAU